AUUGAACGCUGGCGGCAGGCCUAACACAUGCAAGUCGAGCGGAUGAAGGGAGCUUGCUCCUGGAUUCAGCGGCGGACGGGUGAGUAAUGCCUAGGAAUCUGCCUGGUAGUGGGGGAUAACGUCCGGAAACGGGCGCUAAUACCGCAUACGUCCUGAGGGAGAAAGUGGGGGAUCUUCGGACCUUACGCUAUCAGAUGAGCCUAGGUCGGAUUAGCUAGUUGGUGGGGUAAGGGCCUACCAAGGCGACGAUCCGUAACUGGUCUGAGAGGAUGAUCAGUCACACUGGAGCGGAGACACGGUCCAGAGUCCUACGAGAGGCAGCAGUGGGGAAUGUUGGACAGUGGGCGAAAGCCUGAUCCAGCCAUGCCGCGUGUGUGAAGAAGGUCUUCGGAUUGUAAAGCACUUUAAGUUGGGAGGAAGGGCAGUAAGUUAAGACCUUGCUGUUUUGACGGUACCAACAGAAUAAGCACCGGCUAACUUCGUG
rnacentral:rRNA from 1 species